rnacentral:rRNA from 1 species
ACAUGCAAGUCGAGGGGCAGCAUGAUUGAAGCUUGCUUCAAUUGAUGGCGACCGGCGCACGGGUGAGUAACGCGUAUCCAACCUUCCGUACACUCAGGGAUAGCCUUUCGAAAGAAAGAUUAAUACCUGAUGGUAUGAUGAGAUUGCAUGAUAGCAUCAUUAAAGAUUUAUCGGUGUACGAUGGGGAUGCGUUCCAUUAGGUAGUAGGCGGGGUAACGGCCCACCUAGCCUACGAUGGAUAGGGGUUCUGAGAGGAAGGUCCCCCACAUUGGAACUGAGACACGGUCCAAACUCCUACGGGAGGCAGCAGUGAGGAAUAUUGGUCAAUGGACGAGAGUCUAAACCAGCCAAGUAGCGUGAAGGAUGAAGGUCUUACGGAUUGUAAACUUCUUUUAUAAGGGAAUAAAACCUCCCACGUGUGGGAGCUUGUAUGUACCUUAUGAAUAAGCAUCGGCUAACUCCGUGCCAGCAGCCGCGGUAAUACGGAGGAUGCGAGCGUUAUCCGGAUUUAUUGGGUUUAAAGGGAGCGCAGACGGGUCGUUAAGUCAGCUGUGAAAGUUUGGGGCUCAACCUUAAAAUUGCAGUUGAUACUGGCGUCCUUGAGUGCGGUUGAGGUGUGCGGAAUUCGUGGUGUAGCGGUGAAAUGCUUAGAUAUCACGAAGAACUCCGAUUGCGAAGGCAGCACACUAAGCCGUAACUGACGUUCAUGCUCGAAAGUGUGGGUAUCAAACAGGAUUAGAUACCCUGGUAGUCCACACGGUAAACGAUGGAUACUCGCUGUUGGCGAUAUACGGUCAGCGGCUUAGCGAAAGCGUUAAGUAUCCCACCUGGGGAGUACGCCGGCAACGGUGAAACUCAAAGGAAUUGACGGGGGCCCGCACAAGCGGAGGAACAUGUGGUUUAAUUCGAUGAUACGCGAGGAACCUUACCCGGGCUUAA